rnacentral:rRNA from 1 species
CCCACGGGGGGCAGCAGUGGGGAAUAUUGCACAAUGGGGGAAACCCUGAUGCAGCGACGCCGCGUGAGUGAAGAAGUAAUUCGUUACGUAAAGCUCUAGCAGCAGGGAAGAAAAUGACGGUACCUGAGUAAGAAGCCCCGGCUAACUACGUGCCAGCAGCCGCGGUAAUACGUAGGGGGCAAGCGUUAUCCGGAUUUACUGGGUGUAAGGGGAGCGUAGACGGUGCGCCAAGUCUGGAGUGAAAGGCCGCAGCUUAACUGCGGAACUGCUUUGGAAACUGGCGAACUAGAGUGCGGGAGGGGUAAGCGGAAUUCCUAGUGUAGCAGUGAAAUGCGUAGAUAUUGGGAGGAACACCGGUGGCGAAGGCGGCUUACUGGACCGUAACUGACGUUGAGGCUCGAAGGCGUGGGGAGCGAAAGGGAUUAGAUACCCCAGUAGUC